AGGAUGAACGCUGGCGGCGUGCCUAAUACAUGCAAGUCGAGCGAACAGACGAGGAGCUUGCUCCUCUGACGUAGCGGCGGACGGGUGAGUAACACGUGGAUAACCUACCUAUAAGACUGGGAUAACUUCGGGAAACCGGAGCUAAUACCGGAUAACAUGUUGAACCGCAUGGUUCAACAGUGAAAGACGGUCUUGCUGUCACUUAUAGAUGGAUCCGCGCCGCAUUAGCUAGUUGGUAAGGUAACGGCUUACCAAGGCAACGAUGCGUAGCCGACCUGAGAGGGUGAUCGGCCACACUGGAACUGAGACACGGUCCAGACUCCUACGGGAGGCAGCAGUAGGGAAUCUUCCGCAAUGGGCGAAAGCCUGACGGAGCAACGCCGCGUGAGUGAAGAAGGUCUUCGGAUCGUAAAACUCUGUUAUUAGGGAAGAACAAAUGUGUAAGUAACUAUGCACGUCUUGACGGUACCUAAUCAGAAAGCCACGGCUAACUACGUGCCAGCAGCCGCGGUAAUACGUAGGUGGCAAGCGUUAUCCGGAAUUAUUGGGCGUAAAGCGCGCGUAGGCGGUUUUUUAAGUCUGAUGUGAAAGCCCACGGCUCAACCGUGGAGGGUCAUUGGAAACUGGAAAACUUGAGUGCAGAAGAGGAAAGUGGAAUUCCAUGUGUAGCGGUGAAAUGCGCAGAGAUAUGGAGGAACACCAGUGGCGAAGGCGACUUUCUGGUCUGUAACUGACGCUGAUGUGCGAAAGCGUGGGGAUCAAACAGGAUUAGAUACCCUGGUAGUCCACGCCGUAAACGAUGAGUGCUAAGUGUUAGGGGGUUUCCGCCCCUUAGUGCUGCAGCUAACGCAUUAAGCACUCCGCCUGGAGACACGACUUGU
rnacentral:rRNA from 1 species